GUCCAUAAGAGGUGAUUUGAAAAGGAUGGAGGGUACAGAGAUGUGUAAAUCUACACAGAAAUAUGUGAAGGUGCUCUAAGUCUAUCUUUUCAAGGCAUCUGAAGUUGAGAAAAGCAUCAAACUUGUCAAAUUAGGUGGUAGAUUUGUAGGAUGUGGUCACCUGUGGGCUGAGAGAUGUACUAUGUGAUUUGACACAGACAGUUGCUCUGCCAAUCAAACAGCAAUAGCUGUCAUUCCCUAAUGACUUCCUGGUUUAAAUUUUCAUUGCAGUUGAUUUUGCAGGAUGGCAAAAUGGAACUUUUUUCUGACUGAAUAUUCAAUCACUCUUGAUUUUGUUUUCACAGGUGUUUCUUUUACCACACUCUGUAACAUCAGUAAAAUGAAGAGGAAAAAGAUGAUGUCUGGAGCCAGCAUUGUUUGUUGGCACCCCACGAAGCACCUGAAACUGUUCUUCCCAACACUGGGCGGUCAAGCAGAGAGCAUCACGUGUAACAAAAUUGGCAGGAUGGUGAGGACUGACAUAUUGUUUUGGAAAGGCAUGAAAAUGUGUGGGUAUGAUAGAGGCAUAUGUGAGAGAAAGAAAUGGGACGUGGUAAGUAAAUCAAGCACUGAUACUUUCCAUUCCUCCUAAGAAAAAGAAGAAACACAUUUUAACCUUUAGUUUAGAUCAUAGAAUUAGGAGAAAUGAAGUAGGUGUUUGUAAGGAAGAUGAGAGCAUUUACAAUUAUAACAUAUCAAGUGCAAG
rnacentral:lncRNA from 1 species